ensembl:lncRNA
GAAGCAUCCUGAAUCCCUGAUGUCUGUUUCUGAACUUUCUUCUGCAUUCUGAAUCAUUAAUAUUUUGAAACCAAAAACACCACGAUUCACUUGCUUAGCUUUGAAUGCAUUAUUAAAUCAGGCAGAGCUGGUUUCCUCUUAUCACUUUUCUUUUCCAGAAUUUUCCAACCAUUCCUACACAUUAGAACGUGACUUCCAUCCUGGCUGAUAGAGAGCAGACAGCGCAUCCAGAUGGGCCCUAAGCAAUCCCUGCUGCCCAACAGCACUGAGACCCUGUCUCCAAUCCGUGGGUGUGAAGCCCUGCCCAGGACGGUGCCCAGGGGAGCCUCCUCACAAGGCCAGGUCACCAGGUCAUGGGGAGACGGGAUCUAAGUGGAGACGACAGGCCCUGAGGGAAGGCCCCAGGUUUCUUCCUCAGGCCAAGACUGGUCUUGAGAAGACAGUCCUGAGUGUCAAGAAUAUGCCGUUUAGUGCUUGGGAUCAACACACCCCCUUCCUGUGCCUCAAACACACACACAGGGAGGACCUCACCACGCGGAACCGACAGUCCUCUGUGCCCACUGUCUCAGGAGGGACUCAGGACAGUCAACUCCCGCAGAGUCCCAACAUGGGAGCUUUCUCACACUUUCCCUCAGAUAAUGCUGCCCUCCUGUCGUGACUUACAGCCCCUUCAGGUUCAUGCCCAGAGACCUGCCCCCAGCACCUCGCUGCCAAUGAAAACCCCUAGCACCUGACCCCAGUCCCCUAGACACUCCUAUAAGCUCCCAGUGGGCCCCCCACAAUAUUACAGGAUAGAUACCCCUACUGAGUGCACACUCUGCCAUAGGAUCCCACAGCAUGUCCCAAAUGUCAAUAGCUUUUGUUCCGGCAGGAGGACACCCACCAGCCCAGGAUCCCAUAUAUUCCUUCUUGGACUGUGUGUGUUAGUCACUGUCAUGUUGGACUCUUUCUGACCCCAUAGACUGGAGUUUGCCAGGCUCCUCUGCCCAUGGAGACUCUCCAGGCAAGAAUCCUGGAGUGGGUUGCCAUACCCUCCUCCAGGGGAUCUUCCCGACCCAGGGAUCAAACCUGGGUCUCCCACAUUGCAGGCAGAUUCUUUACUGUCCGAGCCAUCAGGAAAGCCCUCCUUCUUGGAGACCCCACCCUAAAGUCAGGCACAGCCACAACAUCCUAAUGUAAGAGUAAUGUC